rnacentral:rRNA from 1 species
AACGAACGCUGGCGGCGUGGCUAAGACAUGCAAGUCAAACGGUCCAGCACCUAUUUGUUUACAAAUUAGUGCGGGAUAGUGGCGUAAGGGUUAGUAACGGACAGGUAACGUACCCUUUGCUCCGGGAUAGCGUCGUUCGCCUUCGGGCGAACCACCGAAAGGGGCGGUAAUACCGGAAAUAUCAUUUGCCGAUGGGCAGAUGAACAAAGAUUUAUCGGCAAAGGAGCGGCCUAUCUCCUAUCAGCUUGUUGGUGAGGUAAUGGCCCACCAAGGCAAUGACGGGUAGCGGGACUGAGAGGUUGACCCGCAACAUCGGGACUGAGACACUGCCCGGACCUCCACGGAGGGCUGCAGUAACGAAUCUUGCGCAAUGGGCGAAAGCCUGACGCAGCGACGCCGCGUGCGGGAGGAAGUCCCUCGGGAUGUAAACCGCUGUCGAGAGAUUAGAAAGUACGCUUCGGCGUAUUGAUCAGUCUCACAGGAAGUCACGGCUAACUUCGUGCCAGCAGCCGCGGUAAGACGAAGGUGGCAAGCGUUGUUCGGUGUCACUGGGCUUAAAGGGUGUGCAGGCGGAAAGGUUAGCGCCCUGUGAAAUCCCCCGGCUUAACCGGGGAAUCGCUUGGCGAACUGCCUUUCUUGAGGCAAGUAGGGGUGCACGGAACUGUUGGUGGAGCGGUGGAAUGCGUAGAUAUCAACAGGAACGCCGGUGGUGAAAACGGUGCACUGGGCUUGUCCUGACGCUGAGACACGAAAGCGUGGGGAGCGAACGGGAUUAGAUACCCCGGUAGUCCACGCCGUAAACGAUGUCUACUAGGUUGUGGAGGUUCUGACACCUGCACGGCCGAAGCAAAAGUGUUAAGUAGACCGCCUGGGGAGACGGUCGCAAGGCU